CAUUUACGGAGAGUUUGAUCCUGGCUCAGGACGAACGCUGGCGGCGUGCUUAACACAUGCAAGUCGAACGAUGAACCAGGAGCUUGCUCUUGGGGAUUAGUGGCGAACGGGUGAGUAACACGUGAGUAACCUGCCCUUGACUCUGGGAUAACCUCCGGAAACGGAAGCUAAUACCGGAUACGAACUGCGAAGGCAUCUUCAGCAGUUGGAAAGAACUUCGGUCAAGGAUGGACUCGCGGCCUAUCAGGUAGUUGGUGAGGUAACGGCUCACCAAGCCUACGACGGGUAGCCGGCCUGAGAGGGUGACCGGCCACACUGGGACUGAGACACGGCCCAGACUCCUACGGGAGGCAGCA
rnacentral:rRNA from 1 species